AGUGCAGAGACGAAUCUCACAUAUCCAUCAAAGCUUUCAGGUUGUCCCCUUCCUUUCCCCUUCCCCACUUUUUUGUUUUACCAGUGCAUGAACUUACCCACCCACGCCAUCUGUUUGCUAAAAUGCUUCAUAGAGCUAUAUAACUUUUUAACCUCAUUGACAUUUGCUUGUUACAAUGCUUUAUGGGAAUAAAAUUGUCAGACAUCAUAUUGGUUCUGGUUUUACCAAAGAUGUAUGCUUUAUGAGCAGGAGGACUUUAUGACUCGACAAGUUCCUCUGCAUCAUACGGGUGUGGCAACUCCCCACUUGGUGAGGAUCUUAUUGCUGAGUAGUCAACGACGUCACCUGCAUCAACCCCUCCCUGGUUGCCAUCCAUGCGCGACCAACCGUCCAACUUAUUUUCACGUGGGAGUACAUUCUAUCGACGCCCUUUUAAUUUACAAGGAAUGGCUGAGAAGCACGGAUUUAUUUUCAUGGGCACAAAAAUAAUAAUCAAGACCUUAGCAGACUGGCUGUACCUUGAUGAGAGUGUGCUUUCAGCUACCAACGCUUGAUCGGGACCACGCCCAAGACAACGGGUCCGAUGUUUGGAAAGGAUCGCGAAAGUGACAUGUGUCAUGGGUUGGCACAAGGAAACUAUUGUUAUGCCUUGUGAGGUCCGACCACGGUGACCGGAUGACUG